UACGUAGGCAGCAAGCGUUUGUUCGGAAUACUGGGCGUAAAGAGUGUGUAGGUGGUGCACUAAGUCUGUCGUGAAAUCUCCCGGCUUAACUGGGAGGGUGCGGCGGAAACUGGUGUGCUCGAGUAUGGGAGAGGAGAGUGGAAUUCCCAGUGUAGAGGUGAAAUUCGUAGAUAUUGGGAAGAACACCGGUGGCGAAGGCGGCUCUCUGGACCACAACUGACGCUGAGGCGCGAAAGCGUGGGGAGCAAACAGG
rnacentral:rRNA from 1 species